UGGGGAAUAUUGGACAAUGGGGGAAACCCUUAUCCAGCGACGCCGCGUGAGGGAAGAAGGUUUUCGGAUUGUAAACCUCUGUCAGUGGGGACGAUAAUGACGGUACCCACGGAGGAAGCCACGGCUAACUACGUGCCAGCAGCCGCGGUAAUACGUAGGUGGCAAGCGUUGUCCGGAAUUACUGGGUGUAAAGGGAGCGUAGGCGGGAUGUCAAGUCAGAAGUGAAAAUUAUGGGCUCAACUCAUAACCUGCUUUUGAAACUGAUAUUCUUGAGUGAAGUAGAGGCAAGCGGAAUUCCUAGUG
rnacentral:rRNA from 1 species